UAUUUCCUCAAUUCUCUGUAUAUUUGACUCAGUUUAAGUGAAGCACAAAGAGAGAGGAGAGAGGGGGAGGGAGAGAGGGGGAGAGGGGGAGGGAGAGAGUCGUACGGCAAUGGCGACGCUUGAUAUUCCCGUUUCAUCGUCUUCUCUCUCUAAACUCUUUAUAUUUAUCUCCGAGAUGUGCUUGCCUCAUCUCAAAGUCACUGAUCAGCCAUAUUUCCAGGGAGCAGUUGCAUUCCGUACAAUCUUCCAGUUGUGGAGUGGAUCUUCAUAAUUUGGUUCUGCCUAGGAGAUAGUUUGUGUGUGAAUUUUAACUCUGGGUACUAAAAUUGUUUCCUUUUAUCAAGUAUGCAAUUAGAAUUUAGAAUUAAUUUACAUAGCUUCCUCCACAAAGAUAAAUGUGUGUGUGUGUGUUUUUCUAUGAGCUACAUCUGUUUCGUGGUACUCUGUGUCUGAGACACUUGUUUCAUUUUUUAUGGGGUAUGUUAGCAUGAAUUACAUAAAACCCCUUACUAGAUUUGAUUCCCUUUGGUACCAAUAUAGUGUUAUUUCCUGCAAAGUUUCUGAGUUUACUAUUUGCACA